UGAGUUUGUUUUUCCUUUUGGUAGCGGUGGGGGUGGGGGCUUUCGCUGUUUUCCCCCAAAAUCGGUGCUGCGAACAUGGAUUCAUCUGGCUCUAGCAGUGGUUCAAACUCUUUUGAAGAAUCUGAUCCAUUCCCGAAGAAAGCAAAACCUCAUGGCCAUAAAUCGUAUUAUGAGGAUGAAGAGGAAAACUAGAAAUUCAGGGGUUUGACGUUCCUGAAUUUCCCAACGUCUUUGCGUUGGGUACCAUUAUACCAUAUCUCAAGCCUGACGAAGAGUUCGAGCAUCAUGAAUCACUCAAAGAGCUUAACUGCUGUUCGAAGUUAGCAGUUGAUCAUUACAACAUGAAUAAUGUCUGUAGUUUUAUUUUUCCAAUCUAUUUUUCCUUUUGUGUAAAUCUUCAAUUUUUUUUAACCCCUUUCAUAUUAUAAAUUGUCUUGUAGUAUACAAAUUACGAGUUUGUGAAGGUUGUGAAGGCAAACUCACAGGCUGUUGCUGGUGCCAUGUUUUAUAUUACCUUUGAGGCUAGGGAUAAGGAUAAGGAUGAUGCUCCUGUUGAAAUGUUUGAAGCAAAGGUGUAUUCUGGAAUUAAAGAGACUAAUAUACGUGUCUUGACGUGUAGACCAAAAAAGGUUACUAUAAUCGAUGAAGGUAAAAUUAAUAAUUCAGUAACUGCCAACUGGAUAGCAAUUUAAUUUAAUUUUCUUUGAUUU